UGCUACGACCAUGCCUCCCUGAAUGUGCUCUAUCUCGUCUGAUCAUGGAAGCUAAGCAGAGUCGGGCCUGGUUAGUACUUGGAUGGGAGACCACCUAGGAAUGCCAGGUGCUGUAAGAA
rnacentral:rRNA from 1 species